CGAUAGCGUAUAUUUAAGUUGUUGCAGUUAAAAAGCUCGUAGCCGGAUUUUGGCUGAGAACGAUCGGUCCGCCGUUAGGUGUGCACUGAUUGGUCUCAGCUUCCUGGUGAGGAGGUGUGCUUCACGGCCACUUAGUCACCGUGGUUACUUUGAAAAAAUUAGAGUGUUCAAAGCGGGCUUACGCUUGAAUAUAUUAGCAUGGAAUAACACCAUAGGACUCCUGUCCUAUUUCGUUGGUCUCGGGACGGGAGUAAUGAUUAAGAGGAACAGUUGGGGGCAUUCGUAUUUCAUUGUCAGAGGUGAAAUUCUUGGAUUUAUGAAAGACGAACUUCUGCGAAAGCAUUUGCCAAGGAUGUUUUCAUUGA
rnacentral:rRNA from 1 species